AGUUAUGUUUUCAAAGAACAUUUAAUCACAGAAACUUUCAAAAUAUUUUGUACAUUGAAUAGAUCCGAUCACCAAGCAGUGCAUAGAGUAGGAUCCUAACUUUGUAAAAUAUCCAUAUGUCAUAUAUAAAGAAAGACAAAUGUAUAUGUGCCAAGUAAGAAGACUGGAAGGAAUUAUGAACAGUGGUUAUCUCUGUGAUUGAUUAUGGGUGUUUGUAUUCUGGUUUUUGUUAUUUUCAAAAUUUUCCCCAGCACACAGAUAACAUUUUCUUACGUGAGAAAAAAUUUUUUUUAAAAAGCAGGGGGUGGAGAGCGGCAACUGUUUGCUCAAGACUUUUCAGUAAGGAAAGGAACCUGGGGUAGAAAGCUCCCCCUUCAGCUGCCCAUGAGGGCACAGGUGGGAGGAUUGCUUGAGCCCAGCAGGUUGAGGCUGCAGUGAGCCAUGACACUGCCACUGCACUCCAGCCUGGGCGACAAAGCAAGACCAUGUAUGUCUUUAAAAAAAAAAAAAAAAAGGCAGCCAGGACCUGAUGCCAGGUCGACUUGGCUCCAAAACCUGCCCUCUCCUUUUCACAGCCUCCUUUCCUGUGAAAUAAUAGGGAAUUUCUCUAAAGCGCAUCGCCCGGUCCCUAUGUAAAGACAAAGAAACAGGACUUUGCACGCUCACCUGGCAUUAGGGCCAGCACUGUGCUGCAGUUGUGAAGAUGGCCACUGGGUUGGGGGUUGUUCUGCACCAAAUGGCCCCAGACUCCCUGUCAGUGGCUACUUGUUGCAGCCAGUGGGCCUGAGCUGACCACCCUUAUUUAUGCUCCUGAUGUGCAGCCUUGAAUGCAUCCUGGGCUGUGGGAGGCAACCAGGCCAGAAGAUGACCUUGAUAGCUGAGCACUGACCCUUCAUCAGCUGUGUGUCCUUACGACCUCCUCCCUUUCUGAGGCCUUCUGUAUGUGAUGUCAUUUGGUGGGUGGCUAAAGUUGCUAGAAGUCUGGCCACCAGGAAGGCCACGACUGUCACACUUUGUGCUUUGCUGCAUAAAAAGGGAGUCUCAUCAUGAUCCUCAGGCCUGCUGUGCACACCUGAUGGGCAUAGCAGCGUUUGCGUCUUGAAAACAUUCAUUUCACAAACUCCUAGCACACCCAAACCAUGCCAGGUUACACACUGGGCACUGAAGAGACCACACAUUUGUCAGUUUCCGAAACUCUACUGCCCAGUAUUGGAAGAAGAGAGCUGUUAAAUCAGGUCCUGCAAUGGCAGAUAGGCCCCAAGUCCUAUGGCAGCAGGGGGCUCAGGCCAUGUCUCAAGCUCUGGGAGAAGGUCAUGGGGGCAGAUGGGUUCUCUGGGUUGGAAGAGCCUUUGGAAUUAAAGAGUCCUAUGUCCUCAUGUUGCAGAUGAGAAACUGAAGCGUGAAUAAGAAAGGGGACUUGUCCUGACACCAAGUCAGUGGCUGAGUUGGAACCAGAAUACCUGUCUCCUAACACUCAGGCCAUUGCCUCUUCCAAUCUCUGCUAGCUGAGCUUGAAGCCUUAGACUAGUGGGGAACUCACCAUCUUCCAGACAGCCUGGGCCCACCCUUUAUGUACAUGAGAGGGUCUCUUCCUCUGCGCUUGCACAUGGAGGCCCUCCCUGGUCCAGGUGGAGGGGCUGCUGUCCCGCAGUGUGGCCCCAGCCUCCACCCCUGCUGCUGGACCAGCUCUCCCCAGGCCCCUCCCUGGGGGUGCAGCACGUGAACUCCAGAGAGGCGCAUCCUUGGGCCCAUGGGGAGGUGGAACCACUCUGCCAGGCUGUGCCUGUGGAUGGGGCGGGCCCAGGAUCUGCUUUUAAUGACACGGUUUGGGCAGCUGGACUCUGUCUGUUCCAGCAGGUAAAUUACAGGCUUAGCAAGUCAGAAAUCAAAUAAACACUCCAACUCCCAGUGGCUGUUCCAAGGAGAACAGCGGUUUCCGGGAACAGUGGAGGCCGAGACAAACCUCCCCACCCAACUCAGCCUAAUUACUGCCUGUCACUCCCUGGGACAGGGACCUUUUCUUUGACUCACAGACCCAAGACACAGGACAGCGCUGGUGGGCACCCAGGGUGACGCCAAUUUUGGUGGCCAGCUUGUUCAUAACUCCUAGACACAAGCAAACACUGGCAGUCCCCACCCUUGCCCCAUGCCUGGCCGGAGACUGCCAGUCACCCUGCUUUGGAUGGAAUGGAUUGCUCUGCAGUGGGGCAGGAGGGGGAACUGAGGUCUUAUUGACAAUGCCUGGUGGUGGCUGUCUGCAGUUCUGUGCUGAGGCCUGGAGGCCCUGUCCUGGUUCAGUGGGAAAGGUACGUAGGUUGAUUACUGACAUGAGCCAUGGGCAAGGGGAGCAGGCUGCGGGGGCAUUUGCUCUGUGCCAGCCUACACUACAUGUUGGAGCUGCUGGUCUUGCCUCUGUCUCAGUGCUGAGCCCCAAAUGGGUCAGCAUGGUAGAGAUGGUGGAGGGAACUGGAAGCCCCCAGGAUUCUUUGCUCCUGUGGGAGUCAUACCUCUUUCCCAGGCAGGAGAAGGGGCAGGCCCAGGGCAAGGGAAUACAC
rnacentral:lncRNA from 1 species